CUUUUAUUAUAAAGUUUGUAGAAUUAGAUUGAUUGCACAGUAUCAUUCCUAAAAGAGUACAAAGUUUAUUAGAACUAAAAUAAUAUGAAUAAUUAGUACUAUUUUGCAGUUUAAGUUGUGCAUUUUCCUAGUGUUUUACUUGCAAGUAUGUAAUUGUAUUAUCUUGAGUAUUGAAAGUUGGUGUGCAGUUGUUACAAAGUUUAUAGGUAUCAUAUUAUUAUGUUAUGUAUAAUAGAAAAUAAUUGUAAAUGUAAGCAAAAUACACUUGAUCCCGCUCUGGGUAGAUACCUUACUUGUUGGUUUAUUCCUUUAGAUUAUUUCAAAAUACUUUAUGAUGUGAACCAAACAAAAUCACCAGUUAGCAGUAACAAAAGGUGAUAAAUCUUUGACUUUGACGUUUGCAAGUAGUCCUAAUAGCCACUGCAUCCUGAAUUGUAAUUAUGAGCCACCAAUAACAAAAAAGAUGUCUGUGACAUGGAUCCCUAAUAUUCUCUCAGAUGGUGACGAAUAAAAAAAGAAGAACCCAGGAGUAUAAAAAAUACUUACAUACAUACCUACCAUUGUGGUGCUGUACAUACAUACAUAGUCACACCACCAUACCAGGAUGGACUGAGCCAAGCACUACCAAGAAGACCAACUGCAGCCUCUUGUGAUGGACAUAAUGACCAGAGUGGUGACAGAUAAGCAACCCAUCACAAAUAUAAAUAUUUCUUUUUUCUGUGCAAGUUUUGAUGUUAUAAAUAAAAUACAAUCAAAAAGUAUUUGUAAAAAGUAUGUUUUAUUACUAGUUUAGUAGGGAACAGAAAUAAAAUAAAUAAACAAA